rnacentral:rRNA from 1 species
UCCAAUUGAAGCAGAGGACAGUGGCGGACGGGUGAGUAACGCGUGAGGAACCUGCCUUUCAGAGGGGGACAACAGUUGGAAACGACUGCUAAUACCGCAUGACACAUAGGUGUCGCAUGGCACUUAUGUCAAAGAUUUAUCGCUGAUAGAUGGCCUUGCGUCUGAUUAGUUAGUUGGUGGGGUAACGGCCUACCAAGACGACGAUCGGUAGCCGACCUGAGAGGGUGAUCGGCCACAUUGGGACUGAGACACGGCCCAAACUCC